UCUUGGGAGUCCCAGGGUGCCAGCAGAGGCCAAUGCCUUCUUCAGCUGUCUUCCACACAAAUCCCCCUGGCAGGCUCUUCCAUCCUUUCUUCCCCUUCCCCCAAAAUAUUCAAGGGAAAAGGAAACAAAUUUUCCUAGCUCCUCAAAGACUUUAGGGAAAAGGCACGUUUCUUAACGGCCCAAACCCCGCUGGAUUGAGUUAAAGCUGCGAGCUAAAGCUGUGGACGCCAGGAGAGCGGGACCGAGGGAGUUGGCAUUGUGCACCGGGACAUCCACACUGCAUGCUCGGAGAGAAACCCCUGAAAGGCGAUCAGAACUGCAACCGGCACGUUAAAGAUCAAGUUUGUUUGUGCACAAAGCAUAAAUCUGUAAACAGGUCUAUUUUAGCCAGUGCAAACGUGGUAAAUCAAAUUGUGUGUGUGUGUGUGCACGCCACAGCCCGGUGAAAAGUUCAAGUUACUGCCGAGCGGACCCCCCCUUCGGACUGCCGGUUUCUUAGGAAAACAAUAGGGAACUGCGCUGUUUCAGAUGUGGCCCAACUCAACAGCAACCUGCACCUCGGAGCGGCAGAAGCCUGACAUUCUGAGCUUUCCCCUUUCUGUAACUUUACUCCUUUAUCAACUCUCUGCUUUUUCCUACAGUAUUCAUUUCAAAGGGGGCUCCCCCCGUUUAUGGCCCCAAAUAAACCGAAGCAGUGCAGA